CUAAGUACUCAUUUGUUAUUAAAAUUUAAGUGAUUAAUCAUUUGAUUCCCUUAGGUGGAUUUAUUAGUAAUCGUGUAGGAGCAGUGUGUUAUGUGGACUUUUAUUUGUUUUAGUUAUUGACUGGGAGGGUGGUUGGCGUUAUUGUAAGCAACAAGAUAUUACAUAAUGUAGCCUUUAUAAUGACUGUGAUAUAAGCUUAAAAGUAAAGGCAGGAAAAAUACCCCCAAAAAGGCCUUGGGCCCAAAGGGUUAAAUUGUAAUAGUAUUAAAUUGAAAACUCAACAGCACAUAGGCUACAUAGGUGCUGGACAAGCUCUCAUUAUUUAGGCAUCAAAUAAAUUAUUUUUAAUAUUAUAUUAGGCUCCUAUAGGCCUAUAUGCGCGGCAGAUUUUUUUAAUGACAGUAAUGAAAUUGAUACCAUUGCUAUUUUUAGAUACCACAGGAUACCUGAUUACUGUAUUAUUGCCCGACCCUAGUGAGAGGUGCCAAGCGGAUGUAGGGAUACUCAUGAGCCCCAAGUUGAGUGCUGCUGUGUUGAGGUUCUCCCUAGAGAAUGAGAGGGUCACUUGAUGCAGCUGCGGGUCGCUAAGAGAAGGUCUUUGAUUGUUGUUUGUGCGUAUGCACCAAACAGCAGUACAGAGUACCUGGCCCUCUUGGAGUCUCUGGGGGCUGUCCUGGAUGGGGUGUCGGCUGGGGACUCCAUAGUUCUUCUGAGGGACUUAAACGUUCACAUGGGCAAUGAUGCCUCCCGGGUAAAGUCUACUCCAGGGUGCUGGAAAGGACGCUCUGACUAAUUGUCCAACCUCGGAUACAGGGGGAGCAAUGCGGAUUCCAUCCUGGCCCUCGAACAGUGGACCAGCUCUUUACCCUUGCGAGGCUUCUGGAGGGGUUGUGGGAGUUUGCCCAUCCAGUCUACCUGUGCUUUGUGGACUUGGAGAAGGCUUACAGCCACGUUCCUCGGGGGGUCUUGUGGUGGGACUACGGAGUACCGGGCUUGCUGCUAUGAGCCAUCUGGUUCCUGUAUGACCAAAGGAAAACCAAAAGACACUUAAACUGCUGAGUGACUAAACUGCUAUCCCUACAGACACCUUGACUUCAUCUCCCUCCAGGGAUGCUGGAAGGUUUUUUUAGUGGGGGUCGUGCUGUCUACACCCCACUUCCCUUGUCCCUGUCUCCCUCCCAUAUUUGUCUGUUUAUAUUUGUUCAGUAUGUUUUAACUUCGUUCUUGAUGGUUUAUGUUCUGAAAAAAUGUAAUUAAAAUGACAAACUGCAAUAAGUUGUCACGCCCCAAAUGUCCUGUUCCCAAAUCGGAGGGGAAAAUAUCCGAAUACAUACACAAUUACACGUGUAGAGAUGUCUCUGGUGCCCAGUGUUAGGACUCUGCUAUAAUUUUUGUUGCAGCAGUACGUUUCUCAGUAUGUUUUUCUAAUAGUUUUAGAUCCUAAUGGGACCAGUUUUCUAAUGGUUAUAGCUCCUAAUGGAACCAGUAGCUUUCUAGUGGUAUUACAUUCUAAUGGAACCAGUAGGUUUCUAAUUGUAUUACAUUCUAAUGGGACCAGUAGGUUUCUAAUGGUAUUACAUUCUAAUAGGGCCAGUAGGUUUCUAAUGGUUUUAUAUCCUAAUGUAGUACCAUUAGGAACCUAAUGGUACCAUUAGGUUCGUAAUGGUUUCUUCUAAUGGUUCCUAAUGGGGUUCCAAUUCCCAUUAGACCAUUAGGAACUAUCAGAAACCUAAUGGUUCCUAAUGGUUUUUUUUGUAAUGGUAUUCUACUGGAUUUUUCAGCAGGGGUCCCUGAUUGGCUGACUGACCAGUUUGGCAAUACAUAACGUAUUUCCUGCCGUAAAGGAGAUUUUUUCCGCGAAAAUUCGUCCCCGGUGGCAGAAGCUUAUUGCAAAGAUUGCAAAGCCAUUAAGUAACCUAUGUAAACGCUGAUAGUCUGAUUUUACUGUGUAUACUACCCUGUGCAACCCACAUUAUUUACAUAAUGGUAUAUAUAGGCAAAAAUGCUGUCUGUUGCUUCUUUAAGCUCUUGGUCAGUUACCGUAGUAACAGACUCUAUGAACCUAACCUGGUCGGGACCAGGUUUUUCUCAAUGAACCUCGAGUUUCUCUCUGUCUCCGCCCUCUUUCAGAGCCACACACUCCAUUUGAUUUCCUCAUUCAUUCAAUCAGCAGGCGAGUUUUGGCGUAGCCUAGGUCUACCGUCUGUCAUUUAAAAAAAUCAUUAAAAAAAAUCAGAGUCAGUAUACUAGAAGUCCAUUAGGCACAGUAGGUGGCAACUUUUGUCACUAACAUGGCAUGUCCUUUUGAUAAUGAUCCCGUGGAUGAAGGUACAAUAUUACUGUGCAGAAAAUUAAAUAGUUGUCGGGAGAUGGUUAUCAGACCAUAGAUGUUCUAGCAUUUCCAGACAAUUAUCUUUUUGAGCUGUACCGUUUCAUGUCACAGUCCAUCAUCUACAUACACAACCUAAUACGUCCUUACAUUUGCAACAUUACCAAUCGUAGUCAUGCUCUCACAUCCCAGGAGAUAUUGUGUGUUGCGCUGCGUUUCCUUACAAAUGGAAGUUUUUUUGUACAAGGUCGGAGAUGCUGAGCGCUUGAGUAAGGCAACUGUAUGCAGGGCGGUCAGUCCCUCAGCCACUGGCCUUCCUAAAUUCUGGCUUAGGGCCAGCUCCUCUGCCUUCAUUAGAGGUAGCGGUGCUGGGCUACCACCCGUUUUACGGGCAUCUGCCUUCUUUCUGUUGGCUGAGUAGAAGUCUGUGUUAGUUUAAAUAGGCUUAAUUAUUUAACAGAACAUGAUAUAGAUGAGAAGAUAUUUAUGUGUGUAAAAACAGCAUUAUGUUGGGGAUAAAACAACUGCACAGUCAAACAGCCACUUAAUAUUUACUUUACAAUGUAAAACGUGAUCAAAAUGAGGUACCCCCAUGAGAUUAUGCCGAGGUCUUACCUGUUUGAACAAUGUUUUUACAUUUCAUCCUAAACUGCUGCCAAAUGCGCUUCUCCCCCACGGGAUUGCACCUAAAUGAAAUAAAUUAAUAGGCUACCAUUCUAGCAGUUUUCCCCUGUAAUGUUGUUGUGAUUGAGCAGCAAUGUUCUCCCACGCCGUCUCCCUCUCUUUUGCAGCUGCAGCGGUGUUGCACUUCUUUUUGAAAACGUGUGCAAACUCGCCAUAUGAGCGCAUUAAGAUUUCUAAUUCUAGUGGGGUGAAAAAUGUAGCCCUCCUCUUCCCCGUUGCCAUGGUGACUUGUGGAAUCGGGCUCAUUGAUGCUGGCUUUUUAUAGUUGUGGUGCACGUGCUUAACUCGUGAAACUAGGUGAAACUACUCCGAGUUGAUUAAACUGAUUCAAAUCAGCUGUUCUGGAACCGGAAACUCAGAGUUUAGGAUUAGACUCAGAGUUUGUUGGACCUGCUUUGUGAAACGGACCCCAGGGCAGAGAGAUGGAAGCAAAAUAUAUUAAACCCGGUGUUAAUACAGCAGAACUGGAGAGAGGGGUGAAAAAUAAAUAGAGGUGGGCAUGGCUCAAGUAGGGCACAAAAUUAUAGAUGGAGAACGAUUGACAAACAUUGCCGCUGCCGAUUUAUCCACUUGCAGCAAACUGUGCAUUACAUAAUCUGAGUUUUGCCCACAUUCAACUACACUCUUGUCGUGAGAAGUGCCUCUUACAAUUUCCCAAUCAGUACUGUGCAUAUGCAACUCUCAUCAGAGAUGAGAGGAAAGGGAGAUGGCUCACUCCUGAGCUACUUCCAUCAUCAGCUCUGGAAAGAACAGUGUGUUUAAUUCUUUAUCACCACUUGCUUGAACUGGCAAGUAAGUUACUGGAUUUACUAGCCUUAAUAGACAUUUUACUUACCCUAGGCAAUCUGGCAGUCCUUACUGUUGAGCUCUGGGCAUAAACCUGACCAUUAUGUGCAUGCUUUACACCUUAUUUUUAACCAGUGACAAAUACUGAAGGAUCUAAUUCAAAAGUAAUAAAUCCAUCAGCUUGAAGUAUUGAUAUGAUAUGCAUUUAGGUUAACUGAGAGCAUGUACUGAAAUUGUUUUGUGAUCAGCUACAUCAACAUUCUGUUGGUCUCAUUCAGUUAAAAAAAAAAAAAAAAAAAAAAAAGGUCCACUUGUGGUCAC